rnacentral:lncRNA from 1 species
AUGGGUCCCAAGCGUCUCCCUCGUGCCAGACCCUGGGCUGGGCUCUGCACCUCGCUGCAGCCCCAUUUAAGAGACGUGCUCAUCAAGGCUGGGAGGGACCAGGAACGUGAGAGACCCCGAGGGCCAUCUCGACCCCUCCGAAACACAAUCUGGGGCACAUUCCCACGAUUUCAAGCUGGAAGCACCCAGGACAGAGCAGAACAGUGGCUCAGCCCGGGGAGCGGCCUGUGUCACCGGCCUCUCCCCACACAGCCCGCUGAUAACCAAGGCCGGCUCUCCCUCCCACCUGUUUGCACACUGCGCGUCUUCACUCUUCACUGGACACGCGGUGCUCCGCUGAGCGGCUCAAUCAGGACUGAUUACUCCAAUCUGCUCGGAUGCGCUCAGCACUCCGUGACUCGCCCCGCUGGGCCACCCCGCCAAGAUUAACCUGCUACAGACAACUUUUUUUUUUUUCCUCACGGCUCUGAGCAGAUCUCUAAAAGAUACAUUCCUAGAAUUGCUGGCUCCUCAGGGCUGUUCCAACUUCUGAGGACCUGUUUGCCCACACUCUUGCCAACAAUGCCUGGCACGAAUUUAACCUGAAACCAAGGGCGCCAAGCUGCAGGUACACUCCCGCAGGGUGGCCGGUUCUCCACCUCGCUUUUGCAGAAACGGCCGUGUUGUUGGUUUCAGCCCCAACAGUGUUGCCUCCACUAGGCCCUCGGGGAUCGCCCCCGCUCCAGGGAGCGCUCAGCUCCCGCAGUCUCAGUCGCUGCGUCCCCCCAGCGCCCUGUGUGGCGGCUUGUGUCUGUCGGCCUCCGCCGUCGGACCUGGAGCUCCCAGCCCGCAGGGCCGCGGCCGCUCCAGCACCAAGGACAGGGCCGGCCCACAGUAGGUGCUUAGCAGCUGUUGGUCACUUGCACCCCGGACCCCGGACGCACACGGAGGGGAAACUGAGGCUCGGAGCCUGGCGCAGGCUGCAGCCCGGUUCCCACGCAGGGGGCCCGCGCCUUCUGCGCCAUUCACCGCCGUCCUGCGCCCCGCAGCGCCUGGCACGCACCGGACCCGCAAGGUGCAAGCUUGUCGAAGGAAGGAGCCAGUGAAUGAAUGAACGUGUGCGUGUGCGUGUGUGCGUGUGCGCGUGCGAGGGGAGCUGCAGCCCGCCGCCCCGCCGGCCCCCUCCCCGCUCCGGUAGCCCGGAGGAGCCGCGCGCCCCCCGCCGCGACCCCCGCUUCCGGCUUCCCCGCCGGACUCUCCUCCUGAGGCCCCGACGAGAGCCCGGUUUCCGGGGGGAAGACUUGGGCGGGGACACCGAG